rnacentral:rRNA from 1 species
AUUGAACGCUGGCGGCAUGCUUUACACAUGCAAGUCGAACGGCAGCGCGGGGGCAACCCUGGCGGCGAGUGGCGAACGGGUGAGUAAUGCAUCGGAACGUAUCCUGUAAUGGGGGAUAACGUAGCGAAAGUUACGCUAAUACCGCAUACGCUCGAGAGAGGAAAGUGGGGGAUCGCAAGACCUCACGUUAUAGGAGCGGCCGAUGUCCGAUUAGCUAGUUGGUGGGGUAAAGGCCUACCAAGGCGACGAUCGGUAGCUGGUCUGAGAGGAUGAUCAGCCACACUGGGACUGAGACACGGCCCAGACUCCUACGGGAGGCAGCAGUGGGGAAUUUUGGACAAUGGGCGAAAGCCUGAUCCAGCCAUGCCGCGUGCGGGAAGAAGGCCUCGGUUGUAACG